UUUUAUUUAUUUAUAUAUAUUUUAAUCUGGUUUGGGUUAUAUGUACCCGACCCGUGGACCCAUAAUCCAAAAAAAAAAAACUACUUUUUUUUUUGGUUGGGCUUAGAAUCCCAAAGUUGUUUUGUUUUUUUUAGGGCUUCUGGGCUCACUAACCCAGAAGCAUCCCCUUUUCUUUUUGAACGACACGAGGACAGAAACAACGUGUCAUUUCUGUCAUCGUCUACCUCCAACCUAAUCAACUUGACCUGCUUCCUCCAACAGAUUGGGUCCGUCGGACUUGAAACUUUCAGAGGCCAUAUCUCCUCCAUCUGAUCUCCGUUUUAUGCGUUCUUGGUGUCAUUUUUUUCGAGCUUUACACAUUUAUGCAAUCUUUUAGUUCAAAAAACUCAGUUUUCAAACACCCAUUAUUUGGUUUAUUUUUUAUUGUUACGUUCAUCAUUAUUGAUUUUGGCAAUAAUAAUCAUAAAGACAGACAAAGGCAGAUUCAUACAAAAAUACAGUAAGAAAAUAAAAAAUUGAACUUGUAGAUUUGCAUGUAUAUGGUUAAGCAAAUCAAUAUAGGUUCUUCAGACAUAGAAAACACAACCCAAGAAAAAUGAAAGCUCUGAUACCAAUGUAAGAAUCUGAGGAGGAAAGCAUACCUUGAGUAAUUGAUUUGCACAGAUGUAUGCGGGAACAAAGCCACACCAGAUAAACUUUAUUCAGAUGCACACAGCAAAUGCAUACAUAGAAAGAUGAGAAGCCAAGAAAAAAACUGAGAGCAUUCUGUUUUUUUCACUCAAAAAAAACUGAGUGAACUGCACCCAUAACCAAGGAUAUAUGGGAAUGUGCGGCAGGCUUUGUUUAUCAACCAUUCCCUCUUAAAAUUCAAAGGUUGAAGAAAAUUACAUUUGAGGCCAUGAGUAAAUUACAUAUUGAACCCAAGCAUUUCUCAUAAUUAUGAUAAUAACCCCAUUUCUCAAUUUAGGCUUUUAUAUGGGCCUAAUCCACCAAGGGUGGAUAACCCAAUAAUGGCUUUUUAUGAGCAUUCAAUAUCUGUAAGUAAUGGAUGACCUUAUGCACUAGUUACUUGUUCUUUCAGGAAUUCAGCCUUGGAAGUUCCAGAUACUCUUGAAAUUUUAAAGCUUAGUUUCUAGAUAUCAUUUAUGAACUGUCUUGUCUGUUAAAAGGAACUAACAUGUGGCAUAUGAUGGAAGGUUAUCUCUUAAAUAUGGCUCUGACACUAUUAGGAUCCUUCUAUUUAUUUUCAACCUAGUCCGUGUUCUGUAAAAGAUAAGUCUGCUGAUUUUGUGAUCUGAUUUCUUUGCUUAUAAUGAGUUAUGAGUCAAAUUCAACUGAUUCCAUACUAUCGACUGAAAACCAGAGAGGAUUGGCUCGUGUUGAAAUAAAUAUUCAACCUUCUAUAUCAGUUUAUUUUUUGUUGUCUAAUUAUCACAACAUUGUCUUUCUUUGGAAAUGAUUGGAAGUUUAGACUAUCUGCGCAAAGAAUUUGAUUUGGAUAUACAGUUCUUGUUAAUGACUAGACUGAUCUUGCUGGCAAGCACAAAUACAUUUUCCCAAAUGUUGAGGUUCCUACUCUUCCAAUGCAUUUUUGUGGAGUAACUCUUCAUGUAAUGCUGGUGGUGGAAGCUUACCCAUGACGGGUGUCACUCACAACUUUCCCCCUUUAUUUUCUUUGUGCCAAAAAUUUUAUAUUGUCUUCAAAUAAGUAGGAAUAAAUAUGAAUUUUGAUGUAGUUACUGGUGGUGAUUUUAAUAUGAAUAAAUAUGAAUUUUAAAUACGUUUGUACAAAUCAUUUGCUGUUGGUCUUGCAUAAAAAGUUGAUUGAAUUUAUUUCUUAAUUGGAUUUACUUAUUCAAUUUUGGCAAGUUUGACCUUGAAGAUCCAAAAUAGAAUCUCAUGCUGCCAUCAUUUAGCUUAGUGAUAUUUGCUAGCUCAUUUGAAGCCACAUGCGAACUUUAAACUUGUUAAAAUGUUAUCUUAAAAGUUUUUGGCUACUUCCUCUCAAGGGCAUAUUCUGUGAACUUACUCCAGAGUCAAUUCCUUCUGUUGAUCGGCUUCAUGUGUUAUUAAUUAAUUAUUGUUCUCUGUCCGAUUGAUCGAAUAAUUAAUUGAUUAAUUAUGUUAACAAAUCAUAGUUCACUCACAAUUGGGACUGCGCUGCCUAUAUUGAAAAUACUAUAAGGAAAUUUGAACUGCUUUUAUUUUGGUCAACCUAAGACUGAACAAGACACUGGAUUGCUUCUUGCUUUAUUUGAUUUUAUCAACUCUAUUGAACUGCAUAUUGAAAUCAUAGUUGGACAAGGUUCUAUAAUGACGACCUGAGGAGAUAGAUUGGGUCAAGUUUUGUCAUCCCAUACGUUCUCAGGGCAGGGUUGUGCACCCUUGAGGGUCGGACACGAAAUCUAUAGAUUGUUAUUAGAAAAGGAUUGUGUCGAUGAACUUUACACCACGUCUUCGGAAUGAUAAUGUGAUAUGGCUUUCUGUUAAGCCUGUAUACCGAAGUUCACCAUAUACAUGCAUCAUGGAAAGGAGAAUGGGGACCUUUUUCUUGGGUGUUGCUUGGGCAUGUGAUCCCAGAGAAUUGGCUAAUAUUGAUCUUUUGAGUGUGCACUACUUUGGUGGAUAAUUAUGCUCCUCUACUCUGUGGACUGAUUAAUAAUAGAAAGGGCUUGAGAACACUUGCUGGAAAUUUGUGAAAGGAAGAUUGUCAAUUCAAUGCAUCAACCAAUUACGGGAAACAAGUUUUGUCUUGAAGUUGAAAACCCAAAUUGUGCACAAGUUUGAAGCCCAAAAUGAGACUUGUUUGCAUCACACUAUUUGAAGCCUGAAAACAAUGUUUGCAGCAUCUUUAAUAUUCCGCAAAAGUUUGAAGCCCAAAAUGGGACACAUGCCUGGAUUGCAAGAACAUGAACUCAAUAUUUGUGGCAUUAUUGAUAUUUUGUAAAAUUUUGAAGCCUAAAAUGGGACUUUGUGCAUCACAUCAUUUAAAGUCCAAAAAUUGGGUUUGCUUGAUUUUAGGGAGAGAGAGACUUGAUGUUUGCAGCAUCUUUGAUAUUUCACAAAAGUUCGAAGCUCAAAAUGGGACAUGUUUAUGUCAUUUAAAGCCCAAGCUAGCCCCAAUAGCAAGAACAUAAACUUUGUAUUUGUGGCAUCUUUAAUAUUUUAUAAACGUUUAAAGUUGAAAAUGGGACUUGUGUAUCAUACUGUUUGAAGCCUAAAAAUUGGGUUUGAUUUCAAGAAGAAAGAGAC